ACGACCCCAGGUCAGACGGGACUACCCGCUGAA
rnacentral:rRNA from 1 species